UGACGUUUAAUUUCGACCUACUCUCAACGGCUGUGACGAAGAGGGAGAAGCAAAGCAGAAGGAUGUUUUGCCCGAAGUGCGGUAAAGAAUUAAUUGAGGCUUCGCCGAACUUUUGCAGUGGCUGUGGUCAUAAAAUUAAAGAGCAAUUUUCAGUUGGAGACACCGCACGACAUUUGACACCAAACACUCUUCAGACCUGCCCAACUGCUGCAACCUUCUGCACUUUCCAAGAAUAUC